UACGUAGGGGGCAAGCGUUAUCCGGAAUUAUUGGGCGUAAAGAGUACGUGGGUGGCAACCUAAGCGCAGGGUUUAAGGCAAUGGCUCAACCAUUGUUCGCCCUGCGAACUGGGAUGCUUGAGUGCAGGAGAGGAAAGCGGAAUUCCUAGUGUAGCGGUGAAAUGCGUAGAUAUUAGGAGGAACACCAGUGGCGAAGGCGGCUUUCUGGACUGUAACUGACACUGAGGUACGAAAGCGUGGGGAGCAAACAGG
rnacentral:rRNA from 1 species